ensembl:snRNA U2 U2 spliceosomal RNA
ACUGCUUCUCGGCCUUUUGGCUAAGAUCAAGUGUAUUAUGAAGAUUCGUAUUAGACACAACCACAUCCAUUUGUUAUUAAGUGUGCACGUUAUUCAUGUAUUGUGUCUGUACUCUGGUCAACCAGAAAUAAGUCUCAAGUUAAUUUGUUUACAUAAGCAUUUAUUUCUUGUACAAAGAUGACCACUC